GUGGUUGUGGCUCAGUGGUAGAUUGCUUGCCUACCAUGUGUGAGGCACUGGGUUUGAUUCUCAGCAUCACA
rnacentral:tRNA from 1 species